GACGAACGCUGGCGGCGUGCUUAACACAUGCAAGUCGAACGGAAAGGCCCUGCUUUUGUGGGGUGCUCGAGUGGCGAACGGGUGAGUAACACGUGAGUAACCUGCCCUUGACUUUGGGAUAACUUCAGGAAACUGGGGCUAAUACCGGAUAGGAGCUCCUGCUGCAUGGUGGGGGUUGGAAAGUUUCGGCGGUUGGGGAUGGACUCGCGGCUUAUCAGCUUGUUGGUGGGGUAGUGGCUUACCAAGGCUUUGACGGGUAGCCGGCCUGAGAGGGUGACCGGCCACAUUGGGACUGAGAUACGGCCCAGACUCCUACGGGAGGCAGCAGUGGGGAAUAUUGCACAAUGGGCGGAAGCCUGAUGCAGCAACGCCGCGUGCGGGAUGACGGCCUUCGGGUUGUAAACCGCUUUCGCCUGUGACGAAGCGUGAGUGACGGUAAUGGGUAAAGAAGCACCGGCUAACUACGUGCCAGCAGCCGCGGUGAUACGUAGGGUGCGAGCGUUGUCCGGAUUUAUUGGGCGUAAAGGGCUCGUAGGUGGUUGAUCGCGUCGGAAGUGUAAUCUUGGGGCUUAACCCUGAGCGUGCUUUCGAUACGGGUUGACUUGAGGAAGGUAGGGGAGAAUGGAAUUCCUGGUGGAGCGGUGGAAUGCGCAGAUAUCAGGAGGAACACCAGUGGCGAAGGCGGUUCUCUGGGCCUUUCCUGACGCUGAGGAGCGAAAGCGUGGGGAGCGAACAGGCUUAGAUACCCUGGUAGUCCACGCUGUAAACGGUGGGUACUAGGUGUGGGGUCCACUCCACGGGUUCCGUGCCGUAGCUAACGCUUUAAGUACCCCGCCUGGGGAGUACGGCCGCAAGGCUAAAACUCAAAGGAAUUGACGGGGCCCCGCACAAGCGGCGGAGCAUGCGGAUUAAUUCGAUGCAACGCGUAGAACCUUACCUGGGUUUGACAUGGAUCGGGAGCGCUCAGAGAUGGGUGUGCCUCUUUUGGGGUCGGUUCACAGGUGGUGCAUGGCUGUCGUCAGCUCGUGUCGUGAGAUGUUGGGUUAAGUCCCGCAACGAGCGCAACCCUUGUUCACUGUUGCCAGCACGUUAUGGUGGGGACUCAGUGGAGACCGCCGGGGUCAACUCGGAGGAAGGUGGGGAUGACGUCAAGUCAUCAUGCCCCUUAUGUCCAGGGCUUCACGCAUGCUACAAUGGCCGGUACAGAGAGUGGCGAGCCUGUGAGGGUGAGCGAAUCUCGGAAAGCCGGUCUCAGUUCGGAUUGGGGUCUGCAACUCGACCUCAUGAAGUCGGAGUCGCUAGUAAUCGCAGAUCAGCAACGCUGCGGUGAAUACGUUCCCGGG
rnacentral:rRNA from 1 species